GGAGAGAUACUCAAGAGGUCGAAGAGGAGGCCCUGCUAAGGCCUUAGUCCGGGCAACUGGAGCGAGGGUUCAAAUCCCUCUCUCUCCGCCA
rnacentral:tRNA from 2 species